UUCCCUUUCUCCGGGUCUAGGGAGGGCACCGCUCACAGGAGGGUCUUACGAUGACCUGCUUCAGGAGAAGCUCUGGAGACAUCCUGGAGGUUACCCUUAUGACUCAACUAAGAAAGCCCCUCAGGACUGAGGAUGGGACAACUGGGAUGUAAUUGGGAAUUGAGGGGGUGAUGGAGAGAUCCACUCUCCAUACUGUUCUCUAGGAACAGCGGGGACACACCUGCUGCUCUUGUUCAUCAGCUCGUCAGCCAUCAGGCUGCCCCUUUGCUCUUGCUUUUAAUACACUAGCACCUGUGCAGGAAAACAGAAGAAAAGAACACACAUUCUUCAGGCCUUUGUGAUCCCUCCUGUGUUCAUUCGAGUGAACUAGAGAACCAGAGCUGGGAAAACCCCCAUGGCGAUGCAUGCAAAGACAUGCACACAGGUGACUCCUGUCUGGGUACUAGCUGGAACAACAAACACUAUGCUAUACGUUCUCUGAGGUCCACGUGGUUGAACUUGAGUCUGAGAAAGCAUCUUGUCUGAUGGGUUCACCCAGAAGCAUCUCAGGUCAGGACAGAAAAAUCCUGACAUCAGGAGCAUCCAUGCUGCUUUGCCUUGACCAACCGGUCACCCUGAGUGUGAUGGAAACUAGAUUUACUCUGGCUAUUGAGGCAUGGUCUUUCUCUUGCUCUCUUUAAUAGAACUUCCUUCUUUCACUAACAAUGAGGUUGAGAAAGUAUGUUGAGGCUUAAAUAUUUCAACAAGACGGAGCGCCAAAAGCCAGGAGCUUCCCAGUAUUUCUGAAGCUCUUUCCGCUUUUCCAGAAUCAACCCCCUUUUUCUA
rnacentral:lncRNA from 1 species